UGGCUGCUCUUGGUGUCCCUCGACUU
rnacentral:piRNA from 1 species